GUCAGGACGAACGCUGGCGGCGUGCUUAACACAUGCAAGUCGAACGAGGUUAUGGAGAGCUUGCUCGAAGGUAACCGAGUGGCGGACGGGUGAGUAACGCGUGAACAAUCUGUACUCAUACAGGGGGAUAACGCAUCGAAAGAUGUGCUAAUACCGCGUAGGACCACAGGAGGACAUCCUCCGAAGGGGUGAAAGGAGCAAUCCGGUAUGAGGUGAGUUCGCGUCUGAUUAGAUAGUUGGUGAGGUAACGGCCCACCAAGUCAACGAUCAGUAGCCGACCUGAGAGGGUGAUCGGCCACAUUGGGACUGAGACACGGCCCAGACUCCUACGGGAGGCAGCAGUGGGGAAUAUUGGGCAAUGGGCGAAAGCCUCGACCCAGCAACGCCGCGUGAAGGAAGAAGGUUUCGGAUCGUAAACUUCUGUCCUAUAUGAAGAUAAUGACGGUAGUAUAGGAGGAAGCCCCGGCUAACUACGUGCCAGCCGCUGC
rnacentral:rRNA from 1 species